rnacentral:rRNA from 1 species
UACUAGAGUAGCACUCGCAUAUCAAUAAGCGGAGGAAAAGAAACUAACAAGGAUUCCCCUAGUAACGGCGAGUGAAGCGGGAAGAGCUCCAAAUUUGAAAUCUUAAAGGGUUUCCCUUUACGAAUUGUAGUUUAAAGAAGUGUUUUCUGUUGAGGUUUUGGUAAAAGUUCUUUGGAAUAGGACAUCAUAGAGGGUGAGAAUCCCGUAUUUGACCUUUACUUUCAACUUUGUGAUACACUUUCAAAGAGUCGGAUUGUUUGGGAAUGCAGUCCAAAAUGGGUGGUAAAUUUCAUCUAAAGCUAAAUAUUGGCGAGAGACCGAUAGCGAACAAGUACCGUGAGGGAAAGAUGAAAAGAACUUUGAAAAGAGAGUUAAACAGUACGUGAAAUUGUCUAAAGGGAAGCGUUUGACACCAGUGUUGUUUUUCUGAAAAUCAAUUAAAGAACUGUUUAUGCUAAGCUGUUUAGACUUUAUCAGCUAUCUGUUUAGUUUUGAGCUUUUCUUUAAUGCACUUUUCAGUUAACAAGUCAACAUCAAUUUCUUUUGCUGUAAAAAAGCUUGAGGAAGGUGGCUUGAGAUUCGUCUUAAGUGUUUAUAGCCUCUUGCCUAUGCAGUCGGAGAGAUUGAGGUCUGCAGCGUAGAUCCUUCGGGGCUAAAUGCAUUUGUGCUAAGUUAUAGCAUUUUAUAGACAACUUGUUGACUAUGAUUUGUCUUGUAGCUUACUCGCUUAUGUUAUUUUACCUACGCUUAGGAUGUUGAACUCUAUCACACACAG